AUUCCAGCUCCAAUAGCGUAUAUUAAUGUUGUUGCAGUUAAAAAGCUCGUAGUUGGAUUUCUGCGGGUAUAGGUUGGUUUGAAUUGCUUCAAUACUGACUUUUUUACCCGUGUGUUUUGCCAGAAUUUAACGGGUGAUCUUCGCCGAUUGUCUGUUAGAACUGACAGGUUUACUUUGAAAAAAUUAGAGUGCUCAAAGCAAGCUUGAUUGCUUGAAUAUUCGUGCAUGGAAUAAUAGAAUAGGAAGUCGUUUCUAUUUUGUUGGUUUUCGGAAAUCGACUUAAUGAUUAAUAGGGACAGUCGGGGGCAUUUGUAUUCAAACGACAGAGGUGAAAUUCUUGGACCGUUUGAAGACAAACUACUGCGAAAGCAUUUGCCAAGAAUGUUUUCAUUA
rnacentral:rRNA from 1 species